rnacentral:rRNA from 1 species
GAAGGGAUAAACGCUGAAAGCAUCUAAGCGUGAAGCCCGUCCCGAGAUGAAGUAUCUCAUAGCACAAGCUAGUAAGAAUCCUUGAAGAAGACAAGGUUGAUAGGUUGGGUGUGGAAGUACCGUGAGGUAUGAAGCUAACCAAUACUAAUAAUUCGAGGGCUUAACUAAAUACACUAAA